AUUGAACGCUGGCGGCAGGCCUAACACAUGCAAGUCGAGCGGAGCGGCGGACGGGUGAGUAAUGCCUAGGAAUCUGCCUGGUAGUGGGGGAUAACGUCCGGAAACGGGCGCUAAUACCGCAUACUAUCAGAUGAGCCUAGGUCGGAUUGGCUAGUUGGUGGGGUAAAGGCCUACCAAGGCGACGAUCCGUAACUGGUCUGAGAGGAUGAUCAGUCACACUGGAACGGAGAAACGGUCCAGCAUCCUACGGGAGGCAGAAGUGGGGAAUAUUGGACAAGGGGCGAAAGCCUGAGCCAGCCAGGCGGCGUGGGGGAAGAAGGUCUUCGGAUUGUAAAGCACUUUAAGUGGGGAGGCGGUACAAACAGAAUAAGCACCGGCUAACUUCGUGCCAGCCGCCGCGGUAAUAC
rnacentral:rRNA from 1 species